UCUGAGAGAGGCAAGGGGGAGAGAAGUCGAGGGGCAGCUUGGCUGCUGCCUUCCCCAGCUUGGAAAGAGGCCACGUAGGCUUUUCCAGCCUGAAUUUGUGCUGGUGUGCCUAAAUUUCUCUCUUUGUGCGCACCCUUGGUGGCCCUCCCAUUCAGGCUGCACUUCAGGAGCCCAAGGACAGGAGCACACAGCAGACCAGCACCAGCACCACUGCCCAGCAGCAAACCCAGCAGGAACCCUGCCCCAGCACCCCACUACAGCCGCCUGCCAUGCUGCACACGCAGCUCUCGGUCUGCUUGCACUUCCAGCACAGAGAUGCUCCUUCCUGAGGCAGAUCCCAGCACUGGGACACAGCAUCCCGGCAGCACCGCCCCAUCUAACCCUGCAGCCUGCCCACACCACAGCGGUCACUGCAGUGUGACAUCGCCCUGCCCCACGUGCAGCUGCACGGGGAUGGGCCCAGCCUGGAUGGGUGCAGGGAUAGGAGAGGACUGCCGUGCAGAGCUCGGGUUGCACAAGUUUGGGCUGUGUAAAUAAAGGUGAAGGGAAAUGA